UACAGAGGGGGCAAGCGUUGUUCGGAAUCACUGGGCGUAAAGCGCACGUAGGCGGAUCUUUAAGUCAGGGGUGAAAUCCUGGAGCUCAACUCCAGAACUGCCUUUGAUACUGGGGAUCUCGAGUCCGGGAGAGGUGAGUGGAACUGCGAGUGUAGAGGUGAAAUUCGUAGAUAUUCGCAAGAACACCAGUGGCGAAGGCGGCUCACUGGCCCGGUACUGACGCUGAGGUGCGAAAGCGUGGGGAGCAAACAGG
rnacentral:rRNA from 1 species